CAUAAAAGGAAUGGCAUCGCUGCCCAGUAUAUAUAAUGUGAACAAAAGGAACAUAAAGAUGUUCCAUUCCAUUCAGAAUCCGAAACCACAAGAUGGCCUUAUAUUGAAGGAGAGAGGAGGAUGUGUAUCGCCCUAGAAGGUUGAUGGCAGCUCCUGACAGUGAUUAACAGAUGGUUCCCCUGCCAUCAGUGGACUUUUGUUGUGUUUUAACAGAGAGAUAAAGAUUUAUACUAUGUUAUACUGGGGGUAAAGGAACCGUGCAGUCGACAGACUAGCUGCUUGACUGUGAAGCCAAAGCCUGAUGUAGCUUUUUCCUCUGUGCCGUAGACGUCCAUUGUUCAAAACCAAAUCAAAAACACAUCAAUGAGCCACAUUGUAGCAGUGGGUGACAUGUUCCUCCAUUAUGAUUAACAUGAGUAUGGUAGCUUAUUCUGAUCCAAUCCCACCUACACUAGAUCUCCAAAUGUGUAACCAUCCGCCGCUGAAAAUAUUCCCAAACAAAUGCACAGUUUACUUCUGUUUUAGUACCAUUUGCUUAAAACUACAGUGCCCAACUGCUUUAGGAAAUCAGAGCAUUUCUGAGAGAUGAAUCUAUAUUAAGGCUGAAACUAACAAUUAUUUUCAUUGUUGAUUAAUCUGUCGAUUAUUUUCUCGAGUAAUCGAUUAGUUGUUUGGAAAAGGGUGAAAAUGUUGAUCAGUGUUUCCCAAAGCCCAAGAUGACGUCCUCAAAUGGCUUGCUUUGUCCACAACUUAAAGUUAAGUUAACUGUCACAGGAGUAAA